UGACGUUAGUAUUACAUCAUAAAUGUUGUACCAAUUACAUGUAAUUAUUGUACAAUUAAUGACGUCAUAGACAUCCAGUGUAUAAUGCUAAAAAUUGUAUUAAACAUGGUGUUUACUGGAAAGUUUUCAGCAGAAAAGAGAGCAUACAUAAAACUAGUGGGGAAAACUGGAAUGCGUACAGCUAAAGAAGUUGCAGAAGAAUGCGGAGUGUCUUUGCCAAGUGUAUAUAGAAUAUGGAAUGAGAAAUUUAAAAAGGAUUUCAAACAAAAGCAGAAAAACGAAAGAGGUGGUGGCAGGCCUGAGAAACUGACUUUAAGACAAAAACGCUCUGUUCUGCGAAAUAUUAAUAUUUUAAGAGAGGAAAAUAGCAAUUUUACUUCUAAAAAAUUGCUUCUCAACUCAGGAAUAAACCCAAAGGAUAUUUCUUCACGCACAUUGCGGCGUUUUUUGAAUAAAAAUGGAUACCAUUAUCUGCAAGCAAGGAAAAAAGGAAUAUUAAGUAAGACUGAUAUUCGAAAGCGAUAUAACUUUGCAAAAAUUAUGAAAAAGGAUUACAGCAGUGAGGUUUGGACAAAGCAAAUAGCGUUUUAUCUGGAUGGAGUUAGCUUCACACACAAAACAAAUCCAGCGGACGAGGCCAGAGCACCAAAAGACAGAAUCUGGAGAAAACCUAAUGAAGGCAUGGAUAGAGGAUGCACGGCCAAGGGCAGUCACGAAGGAUCUGGGGGGAAGCUUGUCAAAAUGAUGGUUGCAAUAAGCCAUGGGGCAGGCGUUGUGCUAUGCGAUCAGUAUAAUAAGUUAGACGGGCCGUAUUUUAAAGAUCUGGUGCUCAGAGAAUUUCCCCAAAU